GAUGACGGGAUCACGCGGUUUGGGGGUUUAAAAGGGAGGGUCAUGUAGCAACCCACAACUUCUUACCCCUCCAACAUCCCCCACACGCCAGAGGCACAAGAGGGGAGGGGGGUUCUGGGUGAAAAAGGGGGGCUGGGGAGGCCUUGCGGGAGGGAGAUGCGUGCUGUGAUAGAGGGAAAUGUGAAGCGCGGGUGGAAGCUUCGGAGUUACGGAGUGUGGUGUGUGGCAAGCGAGUUGCCCUUGGCGCGGGCUCAAGCAGCUCCUCCACGCGAGGGUGACCGCCUUGAGUCGCACCGGCAGCCUUCCGUGAGGCAUUUCCUGAGUUGACAACGCUGAGACUCGGCACCCACCUGACAACGCUGGGACUCGCCAUUUACCUAACAUUGCUGAGUCCCCUACCUGAUAUCUCUAAGAUCUGGCACCCUUCAUAACGUCAUUGCUAAGUCUCGGCCCCCCUGUCUACCAUUUCUGAGUCUCUUACCUGAUACUACUGGGACUCGCCACCUGCCCGACACUGCCGAGUCCCCGUAGCUGAUUCGGCACCCACCUGACACCUGAACCUUAAUCUACCAGCUCUCGAUAAUUGCUAACGUUAUUCUCUUUUUUGCAAAUGUUGUGAUGAGUUAUGAGUAAAUCUGUCCAAAAUU